GACGAACGCUGGCGGCGUGCUUAACACAUGCAAGUCGAACGGAAAGGCCCUGCUUUUGUGGGGUGCUCGAGUGGCGAACGGGUGAGUAACACGUGAGUAACCUGCCCUUGACUUUGGGAUAACUUCCGGAAACUGGGGCUAAUACCGGAUAGGAGCUCCUGCUGCAUGGUGGGGGUUGGAAAGUUUCGGCGGUUGGGGAUGGACUCGCGGCUUAUCAGCUUGUUGGUGGGGUAGUGGCUUACCAAGGCUUUGACGGGUAGCCGGCCUGGGAGGGUGGCCGGCCACAUUGGGACUGAGAUACGGCCCAGACUCCUACGGGAGGCAGCAGUGGGGAAUAUUGCACAAUGGGCGGAAGCCUGAUGCAGCAACGCCGCGUGCGGGAUGACGGCCUUCGGGUUGUAAACCGCUUUCGCCUGUGACGAAGCGUGAGUGACGGUAAUGGGUAAAGAAGCACCGGCUAACUACGUG
rnacentral:rRNA from 1 species